rnacentral:rRNA from 1 species
CCUACGGGUGGCUGCAGUAGGGAAUAUUGCGCAAUGGGCGGAAGCCUGACGCAGCAACGCCGCGUGGGGGAUGACGGCCUUCGGGUUGUAAACCUCUUUCAGCAGGGGAGAAGCUUUCGGGUGACGGUACCUGCAGAAGAAGGACCGGCUAACUACGUGCCAGCAGCCGCGGUAAUACGUAGGGUCCUAGCGUUGUCCGGAAUUAUUGGGCGUAAAGAGCUCGUAGGCGGCGUGUCGCGUCGGAUGUGAAAGCCCGGGGCUUAACUCCGGGUCUG